CUACGGGAGGCAGCAGUAAGGAAUAUUGCUCAAUGGGCGCAAGCCUGAAGCAGCGACGCCGCGUGGGUGAUGAAGGUUUUCGGAUCGUAAAGCCCUUUUCUGCAUGAAGAGGAAGGACGGUAGUGCAGGAAUAAGUCACGGCUAACUACGUGCCAGCAGCCGCGGUAAUACGUAGGUGGCGAACGUUAUCCGGAAUCACUGGGCGUAAAGGGUCCGCAGGUGGCAUGUCAAGUCGAUUGUGAAAGCUCCCGGCUCAACUGGGAGAGGACGGUCGAAACUGGCAAACUAGAGUCCGACAGAGGUCGGCGGAAUUCCCGGUGUAGUGGUGGAAUGCGUAGAUAUCGGGAGGAACGCCAAAAGCGAAAGCAGCCGGCUGGGUCGAGACUGACACUGAGGGACGAAAGCGUGGGUAGCGAACAGGAUUAGAAACCCUUGUAGUCC
rnacentral:rRNA from 1 species